GAUGAACGCUGGCGGCGUGCCUAAUACAUGCAAGUCGAGCGAACAGACGAGGAGCUUGCUCCUCUGACGUUAGCGGCGGACGGGUGAGUAACACGUGGAUAACCUACCUAUAAGACUGGGAUAACUUCGGGAAACCGGCGCUAAUACCGGAUAAUAUAUUGAACCGCAUGGUUCAAUAGUGAAAGACGGUUUUGCUGUAACUUAUAGAUGGAUCCGCGCCGCAUUAGCUAGUUGGUAAGGUAACGGCCUACCAAGGCGACGAUGCGUAGCCGACCUGCGAGGGUGAUAGGCCACACUGGAACUGAGACACGGUCCAGACUCCUACGGGAGGCAGCAGUAUGGAAUCUUCCGCAAUGGGCGAAAGCCUGACGGAGCAACGCCGCGUGAGUGAUGAAGGUCUUCGGAUCGUAAAACUCUGUUAUUAGGGAAGAACAAAUGUGUAAGUAACUAUGCACGUCUUGACGGUACCUAAUCAGAAAGCCACGGCUAACUACGUG
rnacentral:rRNA from 1 species